CAGGCCUAACACAUGCAAGUCGAGCGGACUUAUCCUUCGGGAUAGGUUAGCGGCGGACGGGUGAGUAACACGUAGGCAACCUGCCUGUAAGAUCGGGAUAACUACCGGAAACGGUAGCUAAGACCGGAUAGCUGGUUUCUCCGCAUGGGGGAAUCAUGAAACACGGGGCAACCUGUGGCUUACGGAUGGGCCUGCGGCGCAUUAGCUAGUUGGUGGGGUAACGGCCCACCAAGGCGACGAUGCGUAGCCGACCUGAGAGGGUGAUCGGCCACACUGGGACUGAGACACGGCCCAGACUCCUACGGGAGGCAGCAGUAGGGAAUCUUCCGCAAUGGGCGCAAGCCUGACGGAGCAACGCCGCGUGAGUGAUGAAGGUUUUCGGAUCGUAAAGCUCUGUUGCCAAGGAAGAACGCCUCGGAGAGUAACUGCUCUGAGGGUGACGGUACUUGAGAAGAAAGCCCCGGCUAACUACGUGCCAGCAGCCGCGGUAAUACGUAGGGGGCAAGCGUUGUCCGGAAUUAUUGGGCGUAAAGCGCGCGCAGGCGGUCUUUUAAGUUUGGUGUUUAAGCCCGGGGCUCAACCCCGGUUCGCACUGAAAACUGGGAGACUUGAGUGCAGGAGAGGAAAGCGGAAUUCCACGUGUAGCGGUGAAAUGCGUAGAGAUGUGGAGGAACACCAGUGGCGAAGGCGGCUUUCUGGACUGUAACUGACGCUGAGGCGCGAAAGCGUGGGGAGCAAACAGGAUUAGAU
rnacentral:rRNA from 1 species